ACCUGGCAGGGCUCGAGGCCAAGGAACGUGCUCGGCAGGUCAGCUAAAUUUAACCGUGACGUCAUGGUGAACCAACAGUGCUGCGGUCAGGCCAGAGGCGGCGCCAGAGCAGCGAACCCGGAGUCUGUCAUGAUUCGUCAAAAAAGAACUUACCGCGGUGGACCCGGCAGAGGCAGCGACCUGCGGACACCAACACACACCGAGUCAAAGAAGGUGAGGUGCAACAGCAGGAAGCGUGGAGGGGGCACUACCUCAUUCCUGCCAGCCUCCUGGUGAUGGCCACGCCCACAUUAGACAACGCAGACGACGUGGCGUUACCGGCAUGAGACAGUCCAUCCCGGGUCCUCAGAGUGGCCGAGGCAGUCUGGUACCUGCGAGAGAGCCCCAAUCAGUGCGUGGUCCACAACGGGUUCACAGCCUGCCGAGACUCACGGGGCGGAGCACUGGACGCUCUCCCAGCUGCGGCUCAGGAGCGUCUGACGGAGCGCGUGGAUCUCCUCCUCCACCUGUGCAUCCAGCAGAGAAGCGCUCACCUGACUGGCUGCACCAAAGCCAGCCGCCAUACCAUCCACCUCUCAGACUCGCGCCACAAGACUCCAUACACUCUGAGAAAGAGGCGUCACCUUGGCCAGUUCCAUCCUCAGACGUUCUGCCUCGUCCUCAGAAAGUUCUGUGUCUGUAAGCACAGAUGCUGUGAGUGACCCGACAUUAAAUGUUGGGCGACACUUCACUGGAUGUGAAGCAUGAAAUCGGACUUUUCUGAAGCCCAUCUUCAUUCACUGGUCUUUGAAAUCCUGUCCAACACUGGGGACCUUCACCCCCAGUUUUAAAAGCAAUAUCUCAGCUAAAUCAAGAACAGCAUUGAAACUCAGAACGUUUUUAUUUUGUCAAGCCCCAAAACACCAGUCAAAAAUCACCAGUCAGCGAGUAAAGUAAAACCGAGCAAGUUCAGGAACAUUUAUUCAACACCAAAGGUUUUCUUCCAGACUCAUGUUACCAUGCGUUUUUAUUUUGUCAAGCCCCAAAACACAUGAGAAUAAUGAUAUUUGUCCAUUUUCACCUGGUUAUUUAUAGAAAUAUGUUGUUUAUUGGAGAAAAAUUUGGCACAAAGCUUAUCUUUGAAGGUAAAUGUAGUACUGAUGUGUGGCAGUAUGAUGGACAGCUCAAGACAGUUAGCCUUUGUUGAUAGAUGCAAGUGAAGUUCAGAUACGCAGGGAGUUUCCCACCCAUCACCCGGUAUGAACCAGACAAACUCGGACCUACCACAACACACAUGUUGACAGAGCCGCAGCCGCUGAGCAGCCUGUUGCAUCUCUCACUUCUCUAUAUUAACCUGCCACUCACCAUUUCCCACCUGCUGUGUGACGAUGACCUGCAUGUUGAAUCCAAAUAGUCUGAAACAAAAAGCAACUCACCGGCUCGACUCAUUCCUGCGGCGUCUCUUCCUCUCUGUGUGUUUAGGGUUGAGCUGCUGAUGAGAUUAGCUUGGGAGCUAUUAGUGCGCACUUCCACUCACGCUCACACACAUGCAAACACGUCCACUCAUCGUAUAGGCCAAGACUCUUAAAACCCUCGUGAGAGGAGAUACACACAGACGGACAAGUCAUGUCUCACUUUCUCUUUCUCAGCCAGACAGACUCAGAUUGUUGUCACUCUUUAUUCCUCCACCUAUUUCAAGUCAGCCCACUCUGUUCUAGUGACUCUCGCUGUGUUUGCUGGCUACGUGUCACCAUACACCCAAUGCCUUUCUUCUCCCCACGACUGGGAAAUGUUGCACGUUUGGUGCCGAAUCUUUUCAUAAAAAUAUGCAUUAUAAUUUCAAAAUUAAAUUUGAAACGCUCUAAAAACCAAAAGGUCAUGACCUACAAAGAAUGUUGAUUGAUUGUUUGUGCUUCAAGAAGAAAAGUGUCUCUUGACACUGAGUGGCCUUGAAUAAUUAACACACAUCUCAAAACCA